GAUUAAGCCAUGCAUGUCUGAGUACGUGCCGCGUUAAGGCGAAACCGCGAAUGGCUCAUUAAAUCAGUUAUGGUUCCUUAGACCGUACCUCACUACUUGGAUAACUGUGGUAAUUCUAGAGCUAAUACAUGCAGCAGAGCUCGUCUCUCCCCCGGGGGAGCGAGCGCUUUUAUUAGACCAAGACCGACCGGGCCUCCCGGCUCGCCGCUCGUGGUGACUCUGUGUAACUUUGGGCCGAUCGCACGGGCUCGUCCCGGCGACGCAUCUUUCAAGUGUCUGCCUUAUCAACUGUCGAUGGUAGGUUACGCGCCUACCAUGGUCGUAACGGGUGACGGGGAAUCAGGGUUCGAUUCCGGAGAGGGAGCCUGAGAAACGGCUACCACAUCCAAGGAAGGCAGCAGGCGCGCAAAUUACCCACUCCCGGCACGGGGAGGUAGUGACGAAAAAUAACGAUACGGGACUCAAUCGAGACCCCGUAAUCGGAAUGAGAACAACCCAAACCCUUUAGCGAGGACCCACUGGAGGGCAAGUCUGGUGCCAGCAGCUGCGGUAACUCCAGCUCCAGUAGCGUAUAUUAAAGUUGUUGCGGUUAAAAAGCUCGUAGUUGGAUCUCAGUUCCAGACGGGCGGUCCGCCUAACGGUGGUCGCCGCCCGGCCUGAACAACCAGCCGGUUUCCCCCGAUGGCCUUCGCUGGUUGUCCCGGGUGACCGGCACGUUUACUUUGAAAAAAUUAGAGUGCUCAGAGCAGGCGCGACGCCUGGAUAAUGGUGCAUGGAAUAAUGGAAUAGGACCUCGGUUCUAUUUUGUUGGUCUUCGGGACGCGAGGUAAUGACUAAGAGGGACGGACGGGGGCAUUCGUAUUGCGACGCUAGAGGUGAAAUUCUUGGACCGUCGCAAGACGAACUACUGCGAAAGCAUUUGCCAAGAACGUUCCCAUUAAUCAAGAACGAAAGUCAGAGGUUCGAAGGCGAUCAGAUACCGCCCUAGUUCUGACCAUAAACGAUGCCGACCAGCGAUCCGCCUGGGUUCCUCAAAUGACUCGGCGGGCAGCUUCCGGGAAACCAAAGUGUCUGGGUUCCGGGGGAAGUAUGGUUGCAAAGCUUAAACUUAAAGGAAUUGGCGGAAGGGCACCACCAGGAGUGGGGCUUGCGGCUUAAUUUGACUCAACACGGGAAAACUCACCCGGCCCGGACACCGGAAGGAUUGACAGAUUGAGAGCUCUUUCUUGAUUCGGUGGCAGGUGGUGCAUGGCCGUUCUUAGUUGGUGGAGCGAUUUGUCAGGUUUAUUCCGAUAACGAACGAGACUCUAGCCUGCUAAAUAGGCGUCCCGAUCCCGUGCGUCGGGCGCGCUUCUUAGAGGGACAAGCGGCGUCUAGCCGCACGAGACAGAGCGAUAACAGGUCUGAGAUGCCCUCAGAUGUCCGGGGCCGCACGCGUGCCACACUGAAGGAACCAGCGUGUGCUGACCCUGUCCGGCAGGACUGGGUAACCCGUUGAACCUCCUUCGUGAUAGGGACAGGGGCCUGGAAUUGUUCCCCUUGAACGAGGAAUUCCCAGUAAGCGCCGGUCAUCAGCCGGCGUUGAUUACGUCCCUGCCCUUUGCACACACCGCCCGUCGCUACUACCGAUUGAACGGUUUGGUGAGGACUCCGGACCGGUGCUCCGUGUCGGCCGUCACCGGCCGCGACGGCGCGCCGGAAAGAUGCCCGAACCUGACCGUUAGAGGAAGUAAAAGUCG
rnacentral:rRNA from 1 species